GGAUGGCACAGCCCCUAACAAGCAUCUCUGGAAAUGGGUUGUGCUCUGUCUUGUCCCUUCCUUCAUGGUUGGGCUCAACCUGCCUCUCUGUAAAGACUGGAACCACCCGUGUGACAGCCACUGGAUCCUACGGAGUCAUCUCUUACCGUGAGUUCGUUGUAAAAGAGGUCACUGGGACAUCGACCCUUCCUGGGAUAAAGGCACCGGGCUGCCCUGCAGCAGACCCUAGAACACUUGGGCACUUGGAAAGAAGGAAGAAGAACAGCGGCAUCCCUCCUGGCAAGUGUCUGCCAGUUGUUUCCUGCUGGCUUCCCUGGUGGCUUGACCUGUCAAAGAACAGCUCUGUGAUGAGGAGAAAGGAGAAAAGUUGCUGGGUACCCUAGAGAGCCUUGAAAAAGGCCAUUGGCAGCCCGGUCUCGCUGAGGAAGAGUGAGGGAGAAAGAACCAGUGCCUGGGCCUGAGAAAGGGGCUCUGUUAGGGCAUUGCUGUCUUAAAUAAAGGACUUGUCAACAAUGUGCUUUUAUUGUCGAGCUGACAAACAAGUUUUUAUUGUUGUUGCACCCAGUACUGAGGCCCUCAACAGUGAGGGGUGAUCUAAGGGGGACCUUCCAGCCAGAUUUCCUAUGAGGAAGGCAGACGAUGGGGGGGCCUGUGUGGAGGAUCAGAGUGCAACUUAGGUUUGUUCUACCGACAGUUUCUUCUCUGUGUGAACCUGAGGACAGGGCCUUGGGAUAGGAUGGCAUCCAGCAUUCUCUGCGACCCGGGGACAAACUCUAGCACAGAGGAGGGGAGGCAGGUUGGCAGUUGCUGGAGGAAUAGCAGAGCCCACGUGACUUCUGGACCUAACCCUGGGGGGGGGGGGGCAUCUUCGUUUCUGCACACACCUGAGUCCCCCGCAGUGCAGGACGAGUGUCCCUCCUUCGUCUGCAGCUGUCCUCCACGGGCAGCGGGCAGAUGAGUUCUGGAAUCCCCGGGCGGCCCCUGGGUGCAGGCGCCGCUCUCCAGCGGCUUUCCUGGAAGGUUCCGCUGCCUGCCCUGCGGCUGCCUGUCUUGGCCCGGGUGACAGAGCUUCUGGGGAGUCAGUGUUGAGGGGAUGCCUUGUGAGCACCGUUGCAGGGCAAGAGGACGGCUCUGUCCUAUGUGUGAGAGACUCCGUUCUUUCCUUCUGUUCUCCCCCUUCCUCCGGUCACCUCUCCCUGCUCCCGGCCACUUGGCCCGGCUCACGCUCUUCCCCGCCCCGCUCCUGCUCCGUGGGAGGAUGUGCAGGACCCCGUGGUCCCCCAGGAGCCUGUGUCGCUGGCGAAGCAUUAGUAAUCCGCCAUCCCCAAAGAAAUCCACUGACGAGCUCCCGGGUGGCCGCGGCCUGCGAUGACCGGUGGCUUCUGCCGUCUGUGGACGGAGACCUGGGUUUCAGGCCCGCCGCACUCCGGAGAAGUGAAGCUCGGGCGGCUCUGUCCUGCAGCCUGUUUGGUGGGGGCAUUUUUAUCUUAUCAAGCUAAAAGCCCCAGGAAUAGAAA